UUCAUUAAAGCCUUUUGUUGACGCCGCAUCAACCCCGUCGCCGCUUCGAUCCCCUCUAUUCCUAACCCCGCCGCUUCGAUCCCAUCUAUUACUCCCUCCGCCGCUUCGAUCCUGUCGAUUGCUCACCCCUAUUGCCCAAAAAUUGGAUCUGGUUCUUGAUUGCUUGUUCUUCCUUCGUCAUCUCGAUUUUGUUUCCCUGUUGCUUCGAUCCCGUCUAUUAAUCGCUUCGCCGCUUUGAUCCUGUCGAUUGCUCCCCCUACUGACGAAAAAAUAGGUUUGGUUCAUAACCACUUCUACUUCCUUCACCGCCUCGAUUUUGUUUUCCUGUUGCUUACGAAGGGUUGUUUCGUUCUAUUUCCCUUGCCUGUUAGAGCCUAUAUAAUCAGUCGUCCAUCAUUCCCCCUAUGCUAUCGCAAUAAUCUGCUCCUCUAAGAGGACAUUCGACGUUGCUCGCCGCACAGGUGGCUCUAAUUCAUCUGCAUCCACUGUGGAUGUUGUUUUCUUGCCUCUUGGGAUCGUUCGACUUUGAAAUGGUGUUCUAUUGUAGCAAUGGCAUCGCCUAUUACUGUUGACAUCAACUAUCGCCGGCUAUUGCAUAGUAUCUGUGUGAAAUUUUUGCUUUCUCCUCCAAGGUAUGGAAUCACUUUAGGUGCCGAUGACCGCUUUUGUUCGUAUGUGGAUGUAGAAGUUCCCAGGUGUAGUCGCUUUAUGGAGAUCAUUACAUGUUGGGGUUCGCCGUCUACAAAUGCGAACCAUUCUAAAGAGGAUGUAGCUCGAGUUGCUGUCGGGAAGCUAAGCAACAAGCUCUCUUUCGAGAUUAGGGAUGCUAAUUUUGAAGAAAAAAAAUAUUAUAAGAACUUAUAUGAAUGUGUUUAACAGGAAUACAGAGAUCUUCGAAAUGAAUAUGAGAUGCUUAAGAUGGAGCAUGGUGUCCUUAAGAGGUUCUACAAUUCUUUAGUGGAUGAAAAAGAAAGUAUGCUUGCUGAUUGGAAUGAAGUUAAGAAACACCUUGAUAAGUGUUCCAUCUUAUUAAAUCAACCCAAUGUUGAUUCGAUGGAUGCAGAACCAUCGGUGUUUGUAGGGGAACAUGGAACAAUGAUUGAAAAACGUGUGCUGGAGACUGAAGGUGGCAUAACAACUGAUAAGUCCGCUGAAGAAAGUGAUAAAGAUCCCAAUGCACCUCCUGGCUAUUACCGGAAUUAGGACUAAGUCCUCUGUCUUUGUUAUUUUGGGUUUGGGGUUUGAAGUCAAGUUUGUUUGUUUGUUUUAUUGUUUUCUUCUUUUUUGUUGUGGGGACUAAUAUUGUGAUACGAACAUGUGUUGUUUGUAUAGUUACUCAUAUAAACUUAUUUAAAUAAGGAAUUGCCAUAAAAUACCUUUUUGCUCUUUGUGGAAAUUUACUAUGUUGCACAAAUUAAUCUA